UGCCCAGAUAGCUCAGCCUGGGAGAGCGCUGCGCUGAAGACGCAGAUGUCCCCGGUUCAAGUCCGGGUCUGGGCAU
rnacentral:tRNA from 2 species